AGUAGCAUGCAGCAGAGUUGCUAUAGAAAAGCACGUUGAUUUCUAUCAAACAAUGUCUACGGAUGCUUAGAACCCAUCAGGAUGCAUCUCGGCUUCUCUUCUACUGGUGAAGGAAAGGUUAACAGUCUUACUAGCAGCUGUUGUCUGAGGUGCUUUAGGAAAACGGACAUGGUUUCAGGAAAAUAAUGUGGCCCAGCUUAUUUUAGAUGUGCAGAGAAAAGAGGACCUCCGCUAUGGACUGACACCAGCCCCAACCUCAGUAGAGAACUUACCGAAGAUCUUGUAAAUGGGUGCUCAUUUGCAGAAUGUUCGGCUUUACUGAAGCAAAGCUUGCCUUGAAUUCAGAAUGAAAUGGCUAUUCUCCAGCAUGC